CGUUGCUGACCGUUAAGGCGGCGUUGCUCUUCAUCAUGGAGUUCUUGCAGUGAGCAAUGGCGCCUUGGAUGGCGCUCUGGAGCUCCGCCAUCGACGAACCUCCCACAUUGUACGACCCGGAUCCGCCCCGACCCAGCCCCGACCCGCUCUCGCCGCGCCGCGGCGACGACGUCAUCGACGACGGGCAGCUCGAGAUGCUGCUUCUCCUCCUAGGGUAUCUCAAGUUCCCGGAGAAGGAUUGCGAGAUUUCGCUCGAUCGCCGCCGCGGCGGCGGCAAUGGCGGCGAUGGCGGCGGCGGCAUUGUCUGUUGUUGUUGUUGUUGUUGUUUGUGGGAGAGCUUUUCGUAGAGGGGUUUGACCUUAUUGAAGUAUUUGCGGAGGACUCCUCUGGCGGUGGAGCUGGCGCGCUUGACGGCGGCGGCCUUGGAGGAGAAUUUGGCGAGGGAGAAGUAUUUGGAGGGUUUCCGGGAGAGGAGGUCGGCGGGGGGGCGUUUGAUGAGAUCGUCGUCGGCGGCGGAGCUGGGGCGGGAGGAGUCGGAGUCGAGGAGGAGGUCGGAGGAGGCGGUGGAGUCGCGGGAGGCGGUGGCGGAGGAGGAGGAGGAGGAGGGGGAGAAGAGGAGGGAUUGGACCAUGGAGAGGCGGGGGGAGAGGUGGAGGGGGAGGAUCUGGCCCUUGUAGAAGAGCUCGUCGGCGGGGCGGGAGGAUUUGUGGGGGGAGAGGGAGAUGGUGAACUCGAAGUCGGAGGAGGACGACGACGACGACGACGUGGGGGAGGAGGGGAGGGUGUGGGACUUGCUACGGUGGCGCCGCCCCAUGUUGGUGGUGGUGGUGGGCUUGCUUGCCUACUUAUAUAUUUAUCUCAUAAUUUGAAUAGUUGUGAGGGAUGUAGUAUUAGGGUCUCAUCGUUUAAUUCACAUGCUAAUAU
rnacentral:lncRNA from 1 species